rnacentral:rRNA from 1 species
UACGUAGGGACCAAGCGUUGUUCGGAUUUACUGGGCGUAAAGGGCGCGUAGGCGGCAAUUCAAGUCAGCUGUGAAAUCUCCGAGCUUAACUCGGAACGGUCAGCUGAUACUGCUUUGCUAGAGUGCGGAAGGGGCAAUCGGAAUUCUCGGUGUAGCGGUGAAAUGCGUAGAUAUCGAGAGGAACACCUGAGGUGAAGACGGGUUGCUGGGCCGACACUGACGCUGAGGCGCGAAAGCCAGGGUAGCAAACGGG